rnacentral:rRNA from 1 species
AACGAACGCUGGCGGCAUGCCUAACACAUGCAAGUCGAACGAGACCUUCGGGUCUAGGGGCGCACGGGUGCGUAACGCGUGGGAACCUGCCCUUAGGUUCCGAAUAACUCCCCGAGGGGGGUGCUAAUACCGGAUAAUGUCUUCGGACCAAGGAUUUAUCGCCUUUGGAUGGGCCCGCGUUGGAUUAGCUAGUUGGUAGGGUAAAAGCCUACCAUGGCGACGAUCCAUGGCUGGUCGGUGAGGAUGACCAACAACGAUGGAACUGAGACACGGCCUACACUCGUACGGGAGGGAGCGGUGGGGUGUAUUGGACGAGGGGCGAAAACCCGGUACAGCAACGCGGGGUGAGAGAUGCAUGGCUUAGGGUUGUAAAGCCGUCUUACCCGGGAUGAUAAUGACAGUACCGGGUGAAUAAGCUCCGGCUAACUCCGUG